rnacentral:rRNA from 1 species
AUUGAACGCUGGCGGAAUGCUUUACACAUGCAAGUCGAACGGCAGCACGGACUUCGGUCUGGUGGCGAGUGGCGAACGGGUGAGUAAUGUAUCGGAACGUGCCCAGUCGUGGGGGAUAACGUAGUGAAAAUUACGCUAAUACCGCAUACGAUCUAUGGAUGAAAGCGGGGGAUCGCAAGACCUCGCGCGAUUGGAGCGGCCGAUAUCAGAUUAGGUAGUUGGUGGGGUAAAGGCCCACCAAGCCAACGAUCUGUAGCUGGUCUGAGAGGACGACCAGCCACACUGGAGCCGAGACACGGUCCAGACUCCUACGGGAGGCAGCAGUGGGGAAUUUUGGACAAUGGGCGAAGGCCUGAUCCAGCCAUUCCGCGUGCAGGAUGAAGGCCCUCGGGUUGUAAACUGCUUUUGUACAGAACGAAAAGGUUUCUACUAAUACUAGGAGCUCAUGACGGUACUGUAAGAAUAAGCACCGGCUAACUACGUGCCAGCAGCUGCCGUAA